rnacentral:rRNA from 1 species
CACAAGCGGUGGAGCAUGUGGUUUAAUUCGAUGAUACGCGAGGAACCUUUACCUGGGCUCAAAUGUAUGUUGACGUAUUCUGAAAGGGAUACUUCUUCGGACAAUAUACAAGGUGCUGCAUGGUUGUCGUCAGCUCGUGCCGUGAGGUGUCGGGUUAAGUCCCAUAACGAGCGCAACCCCUAUCAUUAGUUGCCAUCAGGUCAAGCUGGGGACUCUAAUGAAACUGCCUACGCAAGUAGUGAGGAAGGUGGGGAUGACGUCAAAUCAGCACGGCCCUUACGUCCAGGGCUACACACGUGCUACAAUGGCCGGUACAAAGGGCAGCUACCUGGUGACAGGAUGCUAAUCUCAAAAGCCGGUCUCAGUUCGGAUCGGAGUCUGCAACCCGACUCCGUGAAGCUGGAAUCGCCAGUAAUCGCGCAUCAGCCAUGGCGCGGUGAAUACGUUCCCGGGCCUU